CAAAGCGCCAGUGCCGUCCCGAAAGCUCCUUCUUGGGACGGACGACGAGGUGGAGGGAGUAUCGAAAAUUCGGCGGAUGCCCUCCCGCUGCUGCCACAGCGCAGACCGGUGCAAAAAACACAGGCAACUGUGUAACAAAGAACCGGCCAU
rnacentral:ncRNA from 1 species